UGCAUAUCAAUAAGCGGAGGAAAAGAAACCAACAGGGAUUGCCUCAGUAACGGCGAGUGAAGCGGCAAAAGCUCAAAUUUGAAAUCCCCCCGGGGAGUUGUAAUUUGAAGAUUGCGUCUUGGAGGCGACCGUGUCUAUGUUCCUUGGAACAGGACGUCACAGAGGGUGAGAAUCCCGUGCGGCACGGCCCCCGGCUCCUUAUAAGGCGCUCUCGACGAGUCGAGUUGUUUGGGAAUGCAGCUCAAAGUGGGUGGUAAAUUCCAUCUAAAGCUAAAUACAGGCGAGAGACCGAUAGCGAACAAGUACAGUGAUGGAAAGAUGAAAAGCACUUUGAAAAGAGAGUGAAACAGCACGUGAAAUUGUUGAAAGGGAAGGGCAUGCCGUCAGAUUGUCAGUGUGGGUAAGAAGCGGGGUACAAAGACUGUGGAACGUGGCCCUCGGGUGUUAUAGCCGCAGUUCAUGCCCCGUCUCUUCCGAGGCCUGCUUU
rnacentral:rRNA from 1 species